rnacentral:rRNA from 1 species
GACGAACGCUGGCGGCAUGCCUAAUACAUGCAAGUCGAGCGAACAGAUGAAGUGCUUGCACUUCUGACGUUAGCGGCGAACGGGUGAGUAACACGUAAGGAAUCUACCUAUAAGCGGGGGAUAACAUUCGGAAACGGGUGCUAAUACCGCAUAAUAUCUUCUUCCGCAUGGAAGAAGAUUGAAAGACGGCUCUGCUGUCACUUAUAGAUGACCUUGCGGUGCAUUAGUUAGUUGGUGGGGUAACGGCCUACCAAGACGAUGAUGCAUAGCCGACCUGAGAGGGUGAUCGGCCACAUUGGGACUGAGACACGGCCCAAACUCCUACGGGAGGCAGCAGUAGGGAAUCUUCCGCAAUGGGCGAAAGCCUGACGGAGCGAUGCCGCGUGAGUGAAGAAGGCCUUCGGGUCGUAAAACUCUGUUAUAAGAGAAGAACAAAUUGUAGAGUAACUGCUACAGUCUUGACGGUAUCUUAUCAGAAAGCCACGGCUAACUACGU